rnacentral:rRNA from 1 species
UACGUAGGGUGCGAGCGUUAAUCGGAAUUACUGGGCGUAAAGCGUGCGCAGGCGGUUUUGUAAGCCAGAUGUGAAAGCCCCGGGCUUAACCUGGGAAUGGCAUUUGGGACUGCAAGGCUUGAGUGCGGCAGAGGAGACUGGAAUUCCUGGUGUAGCAGUGAAAUGCGUAGAUAUCAGGAGGAAUACCGGUGGCGAAGGCGGCAUCCUGGACCGACAUUGACGCUGAACGGCGAAAGCUAGGGGAGCAAACGGG